rnacentral:rRNA from 1 species
CAAUAGCGUAUAUUAAAGUUGUUGCAGUUAGAACGCUCGUAGUCGGAUUUCGGGGCAGUCCGACCGGUCUGCCGAUGGGUAUGCACUGGCCGGAGUGUCCUUUUUGCCGGAGACCGUGCCUACUCUUAACUGAGCGGGGGCGGGAGACGGCACUUUUACUUUGAAAAAAUCAGGGUGUUUCAAGCAGGCAGCUCGCUCUUGCAUGGAUUAGCAUGGGAUAAUGAAAUAGGACUUUGGUGCUAUUUUGUUGGUUUCGAACACCGAAGUAAUGAUGAGAAGGGACAGUCAGGGGCACUCGUAUUCCGCAGAGAGAGGUGAAAUUCUCAGACCCGCGGAAGACGAACCACUGCGAANGNAUUUGCNAGGGAUGUUUNCACUG